GAUGAACGCUGGCGGCGUGCCUAAUACAUGCAAGUCGAGCGAACAGACGAGGAUCUUGCUCCUCUGACGUUAGCGGCGGACGGGUGAGUAACACGUGGCUAACCUACCUAUAAGACUGGGAUAACUUCGGGAAACCGGAGUUAAUACCGGAUUAUAUAUUGAACCGCAUGGUUUAAUAGUGAAAGACGGUUUUGCUGUCACUUUUAGAUUGAUCCUCGCCGCAUUAGCUAGUUGGUAAGGUAACGGCUUACCAAGGGAACGAUGCGUAGCCGACCUGAGAGGGUGAUCGGCCACACUGGAACUGAGACACGGUCCAGACUCCUACGGGAGGCAGCAGUAGGGAAUCUUCAGCAAUGGGCGAAAGCCUGACGGAGCAACGCCGCGUGAGUGAUGAAGGUAUUCGGAUCGUAAAACUCUGUUAUUAGGGAAGAACAAAUGUGUAAGUAACUAUGCACGUCUUGACGGUACCAAAUCAGAAAGCCACGGCUAACUACGUG
rnacentral:rRNA from 1 species